AGUGAACGCUGGCGGUAGGCCUAACACAUGCAAGUCGAACGGCAGCACAGGAGAGCUUGCUCUCUGGGUGGCGAGUGGCGGACGGGUGAGGAAUACAUCGGAAUCUACUUUUUCGUGGGGGAUAACGGAGGGAAACUUACGCUAAUACCGCAUACGACCUACGAGAGAAAGAAGGGGAUCUUAGGACCUUGCGCGAUUGAAUGAGCCGAUGUCGGAUUAGCUAGUUGGCGGGGUAAAGGCCCACCAAGGCGACGAUCCGUAGCUGGUCUGAGAGGAUGAUCAGCCACACUGGAACUGAGACACGGUCCAGACUCCUACGGGAGGCAGCAGUGGGGAAUAUUGGACAAUGGGCGCAAGCCUGAUCCAGCCAUACCGCGUGGGUGAAGAAGGCCUUCGGGUUGUAAAGCCCUUUUGUUGGGAAAGAAAUCCAGCUGGUUAAUACCCGGUUGGGAUGACGGUACCCAAAGAAUAAGCACCGGCUAACUUCGUGCCAGCCGCCGCAGUAA
rnacentral:rRNA from 1 species